UACGUAGGGUGCAAGCGUUAAUCGGAAUUACUGGGCGUAAAGCGUGCGCAGGCGGUUUUGUAAGUUUGUCGUGAAAUCCCCGGGCUCAACCUGGGAAUGGCGAUGAAGACUGCAAGGCUAGAGUUUGGCAGAGGGGGGGUAGAAUUCCACGUGUAGCAGUGAAAUGCGUAGAUAUGUGGAGGAACACCGAUGGCGAAGGCAGCCCCCCUGGGUCAAAAACUGACGCUCAUGCACGAAAGCGUGGGGAGCAAACAGG
rnacentral:rRNA from 1 species